UACGAAGGGGGCUAGCGUUGUUCGGAAUUACUGGGCGUAAAGCGCACGUAGGCGGAUCGAUCAGUCAGGGGUGAAAUCCCGCAGCUCAACUGCGGAACUGCCUUUGAUACUGUCGGUCUAGAGUAUGGAAGGGGUGAGUGGAAUUCCGAGUGUAGAGGUGAAAUUCGUAGAUAUUCGGAGGAACACCAGUGGCGAAGGCGGCUCACUGGUCCAUUACUGACGCUGAGGUGCGAAAGCGUGGGGAGCAAACAGG
rnacentral:rRNA from 1 species